AGCCGUGCGGUGAGCACAGAGCGAACUAUUCUUUCGCCUUUUACUAAAGAAUACCGUGUGCUCGCCGCCCUAAGCGGCAUACGCCUAUUUUUGGGAGGCCCUUUUCCUCUUGGAAC
rfam:Corchorus capsularis cultivar CVL-1 contig14105, whole genome shotgun sequence.